rfam:Nicotiana sylvestris Nsyl_contig214016, whole genome shotgun sequence.
AUUAUGCACUAAGUAUUAGUGCAUUAGCUAAUAUAUAUAUCGAAUAUUAGCUAAUGCACUAAUACUUAGUGCAUAAU